AACGCGAAGAACCUUACCUAGGCUUGACAUGUAUUUGACCGCUGUAGAAACACAGUUUUUCAGGUGAAAGCCUGAACAGAUACACAGGUGCUGCAUGGCUGUCGUCAGCUCGUGUCGUGAGAUGUUGGGUUAAGUCCUUUAACGAGCGCAACUCCUGUCGCUAGUUGCAACUUCGUAAGAAGGCACUCUAGCGAGACUGCCUGGGAAACCAGGAGGAAGGUGGGAAUGACGUCAAGUCCGCAUGGUCCUUAUGCCUAGGGCAACACACGUGUUACAAUGGUUGGUACAAAGAGCUGCAAGCUUGUAAAAGUAAGCUAAUCUCAAAAAGCCAAUCUAAGUUCGGAUUGAGGUCUGCAACUCGACCUCAUGAAGUUGAAAUCGCUAGUAAUCGCAUAUCAGAACGAUGCGGUGAAUACGUUCCCGGGCCUUGUACACACCGCGUGUCU
rnacentral:rRNA from 1 species